rnacentral:lncRNA from 1 species
UGUCGCUAUUGUUUUUGAAUGAUAUAAAAGUCCCCCAGCGCGUCUUAUGACUUCAUAUUAGUUAAGUUGGAAAUGAUAGUAACAAUGACUUCAAAAUUACUACUUGUGUUUUUAGUUCUUUGCCUUAUGGGAGGAACUCUGAUUGAAAAUGUUGAAGGACAAUGUCGGUGUGGAUUUAGAUGUCACAGAGAUAACGAAUGCAAUCUUUAUAGACGUUGUGGUCGGUGGGGCUGGAGAACAUGGUGCUGUCAUUGGAGGGAUUCUCGAUGUUAUGACCGGAGAUAACAGAAAUCAAGCAGUCUGGAAACGCUGGUGAUAUUUUGCUAGUUUUGUAACUCAAACAACAGUAAAAUAUUUCGAGUUGAAA